AGAAUGAUUAAUUUUAUUUAUCGCCGGUUGAGCGCAGCCUGAUAGCUUAUUACUUGACACUCAGUUAGGCGGAAAAUUUAAAUUGUAUUAUAUCUUUAAGGCACAUGUAUGUGUGUCUACAUAUGCUUGUGUGCGGAGAGAAAAGUAUAAAAGAGCGUAUUCAUUCUAGCUUAGAGCUUAGUGCAUAGAUUCCGGUCCACUUGUGGUGAACUAAAGUUUUUGAGAAGUCAAGUUUUAAAACUGUAAUAUAUUUUCGUGGAGAGAGUGCAUUUUUGCAAUUCACAAUGGGAUGACAAAGGCUUAGAACAGGGUGCUAGGCGCCCAAACUCAACAGUUCUUUUUAUUGCCGUUUAUUUCUAGUUUAUUUUUUUUUUUAGUAUUGUAUAUUCGAAACUUUCAACAUUUUCUUCAGCCUAAUCAGUCGAAACCAUCCAUGCACAAAAUAAAAAUUAGUUAAAAACAUUUUUAAGCUUAUUUUUUGUGGUUUCAUAAUCGUUGCUGACGCUCCAAAAAACCUUUGUGCGCAUUGCACAAUUGACUUCAAUUAAUUUAAUUUAACAAAAUAAAAACAAUAUGGACAACUUUCGACCGUGUGUAAAUUGAACUACCCUACUAGAUGGAAAUGUGAAUCACAAUAACUAAACUUAGUAUGUAAAGCGAGUGAAAUUAUAUGCCAUUUUAUGUAUAUAUAACCAAUAAUUAACUGAAGCUUACUACUUGUUGCAAAAUUUUCAAAAUAAAUAUUAUAUAAAUAUGCUAGAAAAGUGUUGAAGACAUUUUAACGCUUACCUGAAGCCUAGAAUUGACGAAUGUGAGAAUUAUAAUCAUAACUACAUACAUAGAUGUAUAUGAAAUAUGCUAUAAAUUAAUUGUCAUUAUCAAAAUAAAUUGUUGUGUGUGUAUUAAUUAAAGUUUAUUAUCCUCUACUCAGUCCUUCAUCAUCAUCCAGUAAAAAUAUUCGAAGACCUCAAACAUGUUGCUGUUGUUUGGGAUUACAAAAAAAAAAAA